CAGGUGGUGCAUGGUUGUCGUCAGCUCGUGUCGUGAGAUGUUGGGUUAAGUCCCGCAACGAGCGCAACCCUUGUCUUUAGUUGCCAUCAUUAAGUUGGGCACUCUAGAGAGACUGCCAGGGAUAACCUGGAGGAAGGUGGGGAUGACGUAAAAUCAUCAUGCCCCUUAUGCUUAGGGCUACACACGUGCUACAAUGGGUAGUACAGAGGGUUGCCAAGCCGUAAGG
rnacentral:rRNA from 1 species